CGUAACAAGGUUUCCGUAGGUGAACCUGCGGAAGGAUCAUUGUCGAAGCCUGCCUAGCAGAACGACCCGCGAACUAGUUUCUCGACGCACGCCGGGGCGGCGGGGAGCGCCCGUCCCUCGGCGAGCCGUGGGGAGCGGCCCGUGCGGCCCCUCUCCUCCACGGCUCACGAACAAAACCCCGGCGCGGGACGCGCCAAGGAACAUGAAAAGAAAAAGAGCACGCCCCCUCGGCCCGGGAACGGGGCGCGGGGCGCGGCUUCUUUCGCAAUGAGCAAAGAAUA
rnacentral:rRNA from 1 species